UGGGGAAUAUUGCACAAUGGGCGCAAGCCUGAUGCAGCCAUGCCGCGUGUGUGAAGAAGGCCUUCGGGUUGUAAAGCACUUUCAGCGGGGAGGAAGGCGGUGAGGUUAAUAACCUCAUCGAUUGACGUUACCCGCAGAAGAAGCACCGGCUAACUCCGUGCCAGCAGCCGCGGUAAUACGGAGGGUGCAAGCGUUAAUCGGAAUUACUGGGCGUAAAGCGCACGCAGGCGGUCUGUCAAGUCGGAUGUGAAAUCCCCGGGCUCAACCUGGGAACUGCAUUCGAAACUGGCAGGCUAGAGUCUUGUAGAGGGGGGUAGAAUUCCAGGUGUAGCGGUGAAAUGCGUAGAGAUCUGGGGGAAUACCGGUGGCGAAGGCGGCCCCCUGGGCAAAGACUGACGCUCAGGUGCGAAAGCGUGGGGAGCAAACAGG
rnacentral:rRNA from 1 species